rnacentral:tRNA from 1 species
GGUGCUGUGGCUCAAGUGGGAGAGCGCUUGCCUUGCAUGCAUGAGGCCCUGGGUUCAAUUCCUCAGCACCA